rnacentral:tRNA from 1 species
GGGCGUUUAGCUCAGCUGGUUUAGAGCGCCUGCCUUACAAGCAGGAGGUCCGCGGUUCGAUCCCGUGAACGCCCA